AGGGGAGGACAGAGACAGAAACAGGGGAGGACGGAGGCAGAAACAGGGGAGGACAGAGGCAGAAACAGGGAAGGACAGAGACAGAAACAGGGAAGACAGAGGCAGAAACAGGGAAGGACAGAGACAGAAACAGGGAAGGACAGAGACAGAAACAGGAGAGGACAGAGACAGAAACAGGGAAGACAGAGGCAGAAACAGGGGAGGACAGAGGCAGAAACAGGGGAGGACAGAGGCAGAAACAGGGGAGGACAGAGGCAGAAACAGGGAAGGACAGAGACAGAAACAGGGAAGGACAGAGACAGAAACAGGGAAGGACAGAGACAGAAACAGGAGAGGACAGAGACAGAAACAGGGAAGACAGAGGCAGAAACAGGGGAGAUCAGAGGCAGAAACAGGGAAGGACAGAGACAGAAACAGGGAAGGACAGAGACAGAAACAGGGAAGGACAG
rnacentral:lncRNA from 1 species